UUAAUUAGCGUGCAUAGCAAUCUUCAUUUGCAGGAAGUAAUUGGAAAAACAGUUAAUGGAACUACUUAUGCCGGGCUCAGAGCAAGAACGACGGGUGCUCCUCAAAAUCACUGGUUUGGUCCAGCUGGAGAUCCAAGAGGAGCCGGAAUAGGAACUCCGGAAGCAAUAAAGCUCGUCUGGUCGUGCCACAGAGAAAUCAUAUAUGAUCAUGGUCCCUUGCCACAGAAAUGGGAAAUUCCAACAGCAACUUAAUGAAAACACAAAAAUCGAGAACUUGUAUUGGCAAAUGACAAUCAAAUAUGAAAGCUGAAUCUUUAGUUCCAGUUAAUAAAUGAAACGAAUCAGCUUUCAUGGUCUCCGGCCCCCCUUUUUUAAUUACCUUAAUAUGUACGAGCUUGCCCAUAUGCAUCUGGAGCUAUUCUACUAGCUAUAGCGUCACUAAUGCAUUACCACAAAGGUGGUCUUAAAAAGCAUAUUUAGUACGUUGUAGUGAAGAGAAUUGGACAUUAUGGUAAAUAAGAUGUUCACUUCUUUUCAUCGUAA